UACGAACCGUACAAACGUUAUUCGGAAUCACUGGGCUUAAAGGGUGCGUAGGCGGCCAUGUAAGUGAGAUGUGAAAUCCCUCGGCUCAACCGAGGAAGUGCAUUUCAUACUGCAUGGCUUGAGGGAGACAGGGGUAAGCGGAACUGAUGGUGGAGCGGUGAAAUGCGUUGAUAUCAUCAGGAACACCGGUGGCGAAAGCGGCUUACUGGGUCUCUUCUGACGCUGAGGUACGAAAGCUAGGGGAGCGAACGGGAUUAGAAACCCCCGUAGUCC
rnacentral:rRNA from 1 species